UAAGUAAGCGAAUAAAUGUAAUUUGCAUUUUGAAUUUGGAUCUUUCCCAAGCUGGCAGCAUUCUGGGCAGUCUCUUCCCACGAUGCUGGCCAGUGUCAAUAAGCUGUUUUUCUCAUCGGCCACACCCUACAGUGUGCUGUGGGGCUAAGCAGUGACAUUCCCUGGGCUGAGUGUAUUAAGGUAGGCAAGGAGUUUGGUAAAGGAGGAAGGUCCUCAAGAGGUAUAUUUCCCGACACAGGCCUUUUAGCAAGCCACCUUCCAACCAGUUGUCCCCACUUAGUUAACCAUGAACUAGAGAAACAGCUUGAGGCAUUUAACUGUGAGUUAAAGAUGAACUAAUGGCAGAAGUUUUUAACUGCUCACAAAACUCAAACGUAGACAGGUAUUAAUGGGAUGGCUACAUACUGCCUCCUAUCCAAAUAUAUCUGAGUUUAGGGUCUACAGAAGAGCCUUCAGGGAACUGAAAGUUAAUGGAAUCAAAACAUAAACAACAGUUAAUGGAAUCAAAAAUCAACAGUUAAUGGAAUAUUAUUCAUUUCUGUUCCAUUCGCCCAAAAGAUCAAGCCUGGACUUUGUACACAUGGGUCUGUUUUCAUGUUCAGAGGCUGUCGUCCCGACUCUACUUUAGUCCUCAAUUAAAAAACUACAGGAAUAAA
ensembl:lincRNA 4930518I17Rik RIKEN cDNA 4930518I17 gene